rnacentral:lncRNA from 1 species
UGCAAGUCUCUUGAGGAUUUUUUGAUGUAAACAGGUUGAGUUUCUGGAUAGGUGGGCAUAUUGGCAGCUGAAUAUGUGGGUUUUGAGUGUGAAAUACAGGUUCUUAGCUAUGACCUAGCAAUCUUCUACUUGUUUUGUGCUCUUCCACAUAAAUUGCUUUUUCUUGAUUGUAUUUCAUAGAGCAAUUUCUGAGGCUGGAAGGCAGGAGCAUUGUAAGAGAC